AUUGAACGCUGGCGGCAUGCCUAACACAUGCAAGUCGAACGGGGUGUAGCAAUACACCUAGUGGCGGACGGGUGAGGAAUACAUAGGAAUUUGCCCUUAAGUGGGGGAUAGUCCGGGGAAACUCGGUUUAAUACCGCAUGAUCUCGUAAGAGCAAAGCAGGGGAGUCGCAAGACCUUGCGCUUUCGGAGAAGCCUAUGUCGGAUUAGCUAGUUGGUAGGGUAAUGGCCUACCAAGGCGACGAUCCGUAACUGGUCUGAGAGGACGAUCAGUCACACCGGAACUGAGACACGGUCCGGACUCCUACGGGAGGCAGCAGUGGGGAAUAUUGGACAAUGGCGGAAAGACCUGAUCCAGCAAUGCCGCGUGUGUGAAGAA
rnacentral:rRNA from 1 species